rnacentral:lncRNA from 1 species
CAGGUGCAAUGGCACAUGCGUAGGAGGGUCACGAAUUAGAGGUCAGCCUGGGCUGCAUGCCAAGACCCCAUCUCAGGGAAGAGAAAGAGGGCUGCGAGUAUGGAGCACAGGUGGCUUAGGACAUCAAGGAUGUCUGUCCAGGCAGCCAUGUGGGCAGACUCAAGAGCUCUGGAAGUCCUGGAAAAGACCGGGAAGUUGAAGAGGAAUCAGGAAGGUGUCCUGCCUGGUGCAGCCUGCCCCCUGGUGGACAAGCUUGGAUAACCCUACACUUUCAGGGUGUUCAGGCACAAACCACUCCCCGGAGAGUUUCUGCACCGCUCCAGUUGCACGAAUUUGCCUGUGGAUUUUGUCAGGUCUGGUUUGUUAACGUUGGAAGCAAUAUUAUUAUGGUGGCAAUUUAUCAUGUGUGGUUAACCAAGACUUGGGCGAUGCUAUCUCCUGAUGGUCAAUUGAGAUGCAGGGGCAGGCGCUCUGCAUCUUAAACCUCCAAAGGGGAGCAGCGUGAUCUGCAUCUAGCUCACUCAUCCCACGAAGGCUCAUCCCCAGCUCCUUUUCGUCUGUUUGGAUGCUGGUGACUGAGCCCAG